rnacentral:rRNA from 1 species
GAUGAACGCUGGCGGCGUGCCUAAUACAUGCAAGUCGAGCGAACGGACGAGAAGCUUGCUUCUCUGAUGUUAGCGGCGGACGGGUGAGUAACACGUGGAUAACCUACCUAUAAGACUGGGAUAACUUCGGGAAACCGAAGCUAAUACCGGAUGAUAUUUUGAACCGCAUGGUUCAAAGGUGAAAGACGGUCUUGCUGUCACUUAUAGAUGGAUCCGCGCUGCAUUAGCUAGUUGGUAAGGUAACGGCUUACCAAGGCAACGAUGCAUAGCCGACCUGAGAGGGUGGUUGGCCACACUGGAACUGAGACACGGUCCCGACUCCUACGGGAGGCAGCAGUAGGGGAACUUCCGCAAUGGGCGGAAGCCUGACGGAGCAACGCCGCGUGAGUGAUGAAGGUCUUCGGAUCGUAAAACUCUGUUAUUAGGGAAGAACAUAUGUGUAAGUAACUGUGCACAUCUUGACGGUACCUAAUCAGAAAGCCACGGCUAACUACGUG